AUAUGUCGGAGAUGAGGGGACAUCGGGGCCUUUCUUUUGGAAUUUUUGGGAAGAUCCCAAUACUUUAGUCUAGAAUAUUUAUUAUAGCUGUACUUAAAUGAUAAAACUUAGAAAUAGUUGUUAUGAUUCAAUCCUAUUAUGUUUGCCCGAGAUUUGUGACGGUGGGCUCGAGGUGACACAACUCGUCGCCGAACGUAGCCACGGUCAUGGGAUGAACGAUUUUACCUAACAGAGAAGUGCCAAUAUUUUUAAUGCCAAGAAAUUU